UGGCAGAGCAGCGGAUUCCAAAUCCGCGUGUUGGGAGUUCGAAUCUCUCCACCCCUG
rnacentral:tRNA from 2 species